rnacentral:hammerhead_ribozyme from 1 species
AUCCAUCUGACGAGUCUCAAACAGGACGAAACGCUCAUCGUGAAU